AUUGAACGCUGGCGGCAGGCCUAACACAUGCAAGUCGAGCGGAUGAGGGGAGCUUGCUUCCUGAUUCAGCGGCGGACGGGUGAGUAAUGCCUAGGAAUCUGCCCGAUAGUGGGGGACAACGUUUCGAAAGGAACGCUAAUACCGCAUACGUCCUACGAGAGAAAGUGGGGGAUCUUCGGACCUCACGCUAUCGGAUGAGCCUAGGUCGGAUUAGCUAGUUGGUGGGGUAAAGGCUCACCAAGGCGACGAUCCGUAACUGGUCUGAGAGGAUGAUCAGUCACACUGGAACUGAGACACGGUCCAGACUCCUACGGGAGGCAGCAGUGGGGAAUAUUGGACAAUGGGCGAAAGCCUGAUCCAGCCAUGCCGCGUGUGUGAAGAAGGUCUUCGGAUUGUAAAGCACUUUAAGUUGGGAGGAAGGGCAGUCAGUUAAUACCUUGCUGUCUUGACGUUACCAACAGAAUAAGCACCGGCUAACUUCGUGCCAGCAGCCGCGGUAA
rnacentral:rRNA from 1 species